AGAGUUUGAUCAUGGCUCAGGACGAACGCUGGCGGCACGCUUAACACAUGCAAGUCGAACGGAGAACAUUGAGCUUGCUUAAUGUUCUUAGUGGCGGACGGGUGAGUAACACGUGAGUAACCUGCCUCUGAGAGUGGGGAUAGCUUCUGGAAACGGAUGGUAAUACCGCAUAACAUCAUGGAUUCGCAUGUUCUAUGAUCAAAGAAUUAUCGCUCAGAGAUGGACUCGCGUCUGAUUAGCUAGUUGGUAAGGUAACGGCUUACCAAGGCGACGAUCAGUAGCCCGGACUGAGAGGUUGAUCGGCCACAUUGGGACUGAGACACGGCCCAGACUCCUACGGGAGGCA
rnacentral:rRNA from 1 species